AACGAACGCUGGCGGCAGGCUUAACACAUGCAAGUCGAGCGGGCCCUUCGGGGUCAGCGGCAGACGGGUGAGUAACGCGUGGGAAUCUACCCAUCUCUGCGGAACAACUCCGGGAAACUGGAGCUAAUACCGCAUACGCCCUUUUGGGGAAAGAUUUGUCGGGGAUGGAUGAGCCCGCGUUGGAUUAGCUAGUUGGGGGGGUAAAGGCCUACCAAGGCGACGAUCCAUAGCUGGUCUGAGAGGAUGAUCAGCCACAUUGGGACUGAGACACGGCCCAAACUCCUACGGGAGGCAGCAGUGGGGAAUAUUGGACAAUGGGCGCAAGCCUGAUCCAGCCAUGCCGCGUGAGUGAUGAAGGCCUUAGGGUUGUAAAGCUCUUUCACCGAUGAAGAUAAUGACGGUAGUCGGAGAAGAAGCCCCGGCUAACUUCGUGCCAGCCGCCGCCGUAA
rnacentral:rRNA from 1 species